ACGUUUGCGCUUGACAAGUUUGAUUGUCGAAUUGGGCCUAUGGAAAAGACUUGGAACAGCCCAGUCCGCUUUGGGUCACAAACGGGUCAACUUGAGGGCAAGAUUGUGAUUUCACACGUUAGACUACAAAAUGAAUGAAGAGCUUCGGGAAUUCGACCAGAAGCUUCUCGCAUGCGCUCUCUUCCUCUCAAGAACUCUAUCUCGAUCUCUCCCGCUUUCUCUCAUCCUCUCUUACGACAUCACUCCAUGGUUAUCGCCAAGACGACAAGGCUGCCACCUCGAACUAACUUUGAUGCCAAUCUUUAGCUCGAGGUUACGACGGCGACGGAGCUCGGCGAAUGUGUCGACAUGGAGUCGAGUUGUAGAACCCGACAUGCAAGAUCGUCGUCCUCCUUCUUUUGUCGUUCUGCUGUAAAAACCCAAGAGGCCAUCAAUUUUGGGUUUUGGUUUUAAGAGAAAUUUGGGUUCUGUUUGUUGUUGACAAUUUGGUUGCCGGUGACGACGAUGCCGGAAUCGAUUGCGUAUGUUCCCUUGUUCGUGGGCUUUGAGGCAGAAGACCCAGACCUCUCUAAGUUGCAAGGUAUACGGCUGGGAAACUAUCUGGUGUUUAAGCUUUGAUUAUUAGAGAAAUGAGUCUGAUAUUGGGUUUUUGAAUUUGGCUUUUGGUUGCUAAUCAACUUGAAAAUUUGGGCGAGUUCAAUGGGUGGAGUUGGAUAACAAGUUGGCGCUAACUCUAAAGGAGCCUUGAGUUGAGAUGAGAGAAGGAACCAUUGAAGUAGAAGAAGGCGUGCUGCUGCUUCUAACCCAACAACGCAGCAAGAGGAAAAGUUUAAUCUAAAGAAUUUAUAAGCUACACAGUUAGCCUCACGGGGAAUAUGGUCGAAACAGAUGUCAUCAAAGGUGGCCGCCAGAUUGAGGAUGUCUCUUACCAAAGUUCUGAGGCGCCAAGGCAGCAAAUUAUGUUUAUUAACAGCAUCAAUUAGGAGCUUAGAAUCUCCUUCUACCAGAAUCUUCUUACAGUCGAGGAGAUAGGCAUGAUAGAGGCCAUCUCGGAGAGCAUUUCCUUCAGCAAUAGGGACAGAGGCAGUUCCCAAAUUCCUUGAGCCGGCAAAUACUGGAGUUCCUUCAUGGUCUCUAAUGAUGAACCCUGCAGCAGUAGAAGAAUUUUUGAUAACGGAGCCAUCAAAGUUAAGCUUGAAGAAACCUUCAGGAGGGGGCACCCAUCUGAUGUUGGAGGGAUAAGAACUCUGUUGUUGUCUAGGACACCGGUUCAACAAUCUAUAAUCAUUUCCUGUGUGGAGUUGUAUUGUUUCAUAUUUGGAUUUUACUUGCACCGUGUGUAUUGAAGUAAGGUGGAAUGAUUAUGCUUAUAUUUGAUUAAGUUGGAUUUAUAUUUGGUAUGA